rnacentral:rRNA from 1 species
GACGAACGCUGGCGGCGUGCCUAAUACAUGCAAGUUGAGCGCUGAAGGUUGGUACUUGUACCAACUGGAUGAGCAGCGAACGGGUGAGUAACGCGUGGGGAAUCUGCCUUUGAGCGGGGGACAACAUUUGGAAACGAAUGCUAAUACCGCAUAAAAACUUUAAACACAAGUUUUAAGUUUGAAAGAUGCAAUUGCAUCACUCAAAGAUGAUCCCGCGUUGUAUUAGCUAGUUGGUGAGGUAAAGGCUCACCAAGGCGAUGAUACAUAGCCGACCUGAGAGGGUGAUCGGCCACAUUGGGACUGAGACACGACCCAAACUCCUACAGGAGGCAGCAGUAGGGAAUCUUCGGCAAUGGACGAAAGUCUGACCGAGCAACGCCGCGUGAGUGAAGAAGGUUUUCGGAUCGUAAAACUCUGUUGGUAGAGAAGAACGUUGGUGAGAGUGGAAAGCUCAUCAAGUGACGGUAACUACCCAGAAAGGGACGGCUAACUACGUG